CGGGGCGUAGCGCAGUUGGUAGCGCGCUUGGUUUGGGACCAAGAGGUCCCGGGUUCGAGUCCCGGCGCCCCGACCA
rnacentral:tRNA from 1 species